UACGUAGGUGGCUAGCGUUGUCCGGAUUUACUGGGCGUAAAGAGCGCGCAGGCGGUCGUUCAAGUCGAGUGUGAAAGCCCCGGCUCAACUGGGGAGGGUCACUCGAUACUGAUCGACUCGAAGGCAGGAGAGGGAAGCGGAAUUCCCGGUGUAGUGGUGAAAUGCGUAGAUAUCGGGAGGAACACCAGUGGCGAAGGCGGCUUUCUGGCCUGCUCUUGACGCUGAGGCGCGAAAGCUAGGGUAGCAAACGGG
rnacentral:rRNA from 1 species